rnacentral:rRNA from 1 species
GAUGAACGCUGGCGGCGUGCCUAAUACAUGCAAGUCGAGCGAACGGACGAGAAGCUUGCUUCUCUGAUGUUAGCGGCGGACGGGUGAGUAACACGUGGAUAACCUACCUAUAAGACUGGGAUGACUUCGGGAAACCGUAGCUAAUACCGGAUAAUAUUUUGAACCGCAUGGUUCAAAAGUGAAAGACGGUCUUGCUGUCACUUAUAGAUGGAUCCGCGCUGCAUUAGCUAGUUGGUAAGGUAACGGCUUACCAAGGCAACGAUGCAUAGCCGACCUGAGAGGGUGAUCGGCCACACUGGAACUGAGACACGGUCCAGACUCCUACGGGAGGCAGCAGUAGGGAAUCUUCCGCAAUGGGCGAAAGCCUGACGGAGCAACGCCGCGUGAGUGAUGAAGGUCUUCGGAUCGUAAAACUCUGUUAUUAGGGAAGAACAUAUGUGUAAGUAACUGUGCACAUCUUGACGGUACCUAAUCAGAAAGCCACGGCUAACUACGU